rnacentral:lncRNA from 1 species
AUCAUUUCAACUAAAAUAUUUUUGGAUUAAUUUAUAUUUGCUGAAGAAAUAAUCCAAGCAUCACAAAUAGAACUUUUAAUAAGAUCAAAUAAUCUUGAUGUUACAAAAAAUCCAAAAAAUCCAAAAAAUAAAAUAAAUAAAAUAAAAUAAAAUAAAAAAUAGAUCACUUACUUCAAAAGAAAGUGAUCCAUUUCUAAAGAUAUUUAUUUAGCUUUUUUUUCUUCUUUUUUCUUCUUUUUU